UAGGGAAUAUUGGACAAUGGGGGGAACCCUGAUCCAGCCAUGCCGCGUGGAGGAAGACUGCCCUCUGAGUUGUAAACUCCUUUUAUAUGGGAAGAACUGUCCUCAUUGAUGAGUGACCUGACGGUACCAUAGGAAUAAGCACCGGCUAACUCCGUGCCAGCCGCAGCGGUAAUACGGAGGGUGCAAGCGUUAUCCGGAUUCACUGGGCUUAAAGGGUGCGUAGGCGGAUAUGUAAGUCAGUGGUGAAAUCAACGGGCUCAACCUGUUAACGGCCAGUGAGACUGUGUUACUUGAAUAUGAGAGAGGUAGGCGGAAUGUUGCAUGUAGCGGUGAAAUGCUUAGAUAUGCUACGGAACACCGAUUGCGAAAGCAGCUUACUAUUUCGUAAUUGACGCUGAGGCACGAAAGCGUGGGUAGCGAACA
rnacentral:rRNA from 1 species